AUGAACGCUGGCGGCGUGCCUAAUACAUGCAAGUCGAGCGAACAGACGAGGAGCUUGCUCCUCUGACGUUAGCGGCGGACGGGUGAGUAACACGUGGAUAACCUACCUAUAAGACUGGGAUAACUUCGGGAAACCGGAGCUAAUACCGGAAAAUAUAUUAAACCGCAUGGUUCCAUAGUGAAAGACGGUUUUGCUGUCACUUAUAGAUGGAUCCGCGCCGCAUUAGAUAGUUGGUAAGGUAACGGCUUACCAAGGAGACGAUGCGUAGCCGACCUGAGAGGGUGACCGGCCAGACUGGAACUGAGACACGGUCCAGACUCCUACGGGAGGCAGCAGUAGGGAAUCUUCCGCAAUGGGCGAAAGCCUGACGGAGAAACGCCGCGUGAGUGAUGAAGGUCUUCGGAUCGUAAAACUCUGUUAUUAGGGAAGAACAAUUGUGUAAGUAACUAUGCACGUCUUGACGGUACCUAAUCAGAAAGCCACGGCUAACUACGUG
rnacentral:rRNA from 1 species